rnacentral:rRNA from 1 species
GCGAGUAGAGAGAAGCUUGCUUCUCUUGAGAGCGGCGGACGGGUGAGUAAUGCCUAGGAAUCUGCCUGGUAGUGGGGGAUAACGUUCGGAAACGGACGCUAAUACCGCAUACGUCCUACGGGAGAAAGCAGGGGACCUUCGGGCCUUGCGCUAUCAGAUGAGCCUAGGUCGGAUUAGCUAGUUGGUGAGGUAAUGGCUCACCAAGGCGACGAUCCGUAACUGGUCUGAGAGGAUGAUCAGUCACACUGGAACUGAGACACGGUCCAGACUCCUACGGGAGGCAGCAGUGGGGAAUAUUGGACAAUGGGCGAAAGCCUGAUCCAGCCAUGCCGCGUGUGUGAAGAAGGUCUUCGGAUUGUAAAGCACUUUAAGUUGGGAGGAAGGGCCAUUACCUAAUACGUGAUGGUUUUGACGUUACCGACAGAAUAAGCACCGGCUAACUCUGUGCCAGCAGCCGCGGUAAUACAGAGGGUGCAAGCGUUAAUCGGAAUUACUGGGCGUAAAGCGCGCGUAGGUGGUUCGUUAAGUUGGAUGUGAAAUCCCCGGGCUCAACCUGGGAACUGCAUUCAAAACUGUCGAGCUAGAGUAUGGUAGAGGGUGGUGGAAUUUCCUGUGUAGCGGUGAAAUGCGUAGAUAUAAGAAGGAACACCAGUGGCGAACGCGACCACCUGGACUGAUACUGACCCUGAGGUGCGAAAGCGUGGGGAGCAAACAGGAUUAGAUACCCUGGUAGUCCACGCGGUACACGAUGUCAACUAGCCGUUGGGAGCCUUGAGCUCGUAAUGGCGCACCUCACGCAUUAAGUUGACCGCCUGGGGAGUACGGCCGCAGGCCAAGCUCACAUGAAUUGUUUGUCGCCCGCACAAGCGGUGGAGCAUGUGGUUUAUUCGAACAACGCAAAGAACAUUACCACGCCUUGACAUCUAUGACUUACAGAGAGGAAUGAUGCCGUCGGGUACUUUGAGGCAGAUGCUACAUGCUGUCGUCAGCUCGAGGCGUGCCUCCUCGCCUAAGUCCUGUAUGAUGCAACCAUGUCCUACUACAGCACGUAUGCGGGGCAUCUAUGUGCCGCCCGUGAAAAUCUGACGAAGUGGGAUGAGAGAGGAGCAGACCCUUAAGACGGGCGUCACCAGUGCU